rnacentral:rRNA from 1 species
AUGAAUCUCCUAAGUUGGAACUGCCGAACAGUUCGUGAGCUAGCAACUCUUUGUCAGUCGCAUUCCCCCACUUUGGUUUUCUUAUGUGAGACAAGGCAGAUGGCGGACAAGAUGAAAAGAUGUCGAGGAAGGUUGGGGUUGAAGGGUUUUUGCGGCGUGGAUAGUAAUAGUAUGAGUGGUGGUCUAGCCUUAUGUUGGCAUGAA